rnacentral:rRNA from 1 species
CCUACGGGAGGCAGCAGUGAGGAAUAUUGGUCAAUGGACGAGAGUCUGAACCAGCCAAGUAGCGUGAAGGAUGACUGCCCUAUGGGUUGUAAACUUCUUUUAUAUGGGAAUAAAAUGUUCCACGUGUGGGAUUUUGUAUGUACCAUAUGAAUAAGAGUCGGCUAACUCCGUGCCAGCAGCCGCGGUAAUACGGAGGAUCCGAGCGUUAUCCGGAUUUAUUGGGUUUAAAGGGAGCGUAGGUGGAUUGUUAAGUCAGUUGUGAAAGUUUGCGGCUCAACCGUAAAAUUGCAGUUGAAACUGGCAGUCUUGAGUACAGUAGAGGUGGGCGGAAUUCGUGGUGUAGCGGUGAAAUGCUUAGAUAUCACGAAGAACUCCGAUUGCGAAGGCAGUUCACUGGACUGCAACUGACACUGAGGCUCGAAAGUGUGGGUAUCAAACAGGAUUAGAUACCCCAGUAGUC